UACGUAGGGGGCAAGCGUUGUCCGGAAUCAUUGGGCGUAAAGCGCGUGUAGGCGGCCAUCCAAGUCCGAUGUGAAAGCUCGGGGCUCAACCCCGAGUCUGCAUUGGAAACUGUAUGGCUUGAGUCCGGAAGAGGAGACUGGAAUUCCUGGUGUAGCGGUGAAAUGCGCAGAUAUCAGGAAGAACACCGGUGGCGAAGGCGGGUCUCUGGGACGGUACUGACGCUGAGACGCGAAAGCGUGGGGAGCAAACAGG
rnacentral:rRNA from 1 species